UACAGAGGGGGCGAGCGUUGUUCGGAAUUACUGGGCGUAAAGGCUCGUAGGCGGCCAACUAAGUCAGACGUGAAAUCCCUCGGCUUAACCGGGGAACUGCGUCUGAUACUGGAUGGCUAGAGGUUGGGAGAGGGAUGCGGAAUUCCAGGUGUAGCGGUGAAAUGCGCAGAUAUCAGGAGGAACACCGGUGGCGAAGGCGGGUCUCUGGACAGUUCCUGACGCUGAGGCACGAAGGUCAGGGGAGCAAACGGG
rnacentral:rRNA from 1 species